rnacentral:rRNA from 1 species
GUGGGGAAUCUUGCGCAAUGGGCGAAAGCCUGACGCAGCCAUGCCGCGUGAAUGAUGAAGGUCUUAGGAUUGUAAAAUUCUUUCACCGGGGACGAUAAUGACGGUACCCGGAGAAGAAGCUCCGGCUAACUUCGUGCCAGCAGCCGCGGUAAUACGAAGGGGGCUAGCGUUGCUCGGAAUUACUGGGCGUAAAGGGCGCGUAGGCGGACAGCUUAGUCAGAGGUGAAAGCCCAGGGCUCAACCUUGGAAUUGCCUUUGAUACUGGCUGUCUUGAGUUUGGGAGAGGGGAGUGGAACUCCGAGUGUAGAGGUGAAAUUCGUAGAUAUUCGGAAGAACACCAGUGGCGAAGGCGGCUCACUGGCUCGAUACUGACGCUGAGGUGCGAAAGCGUGGGGAGCAAACAGGAUUAGAAACCCGUGUAGUCC